rnacentral:rRNA from 2 species
UACGGAGGAUCCAAGCGUUGUCCGGAUUUAUUGGGUUUAAAGGGUGCGUAGGCGGAUAAUUAAGUCAGUGGUGAAAUCUUGCGGCUCAACCGUAAAAUUGCCAUUGAAACUGAUUAUCUUGAGUACAGUUGAGGUGGGCGGAAUGUAUCAUGUAGCGGUGAAAUGCUUAGAUAUGAUACAGAACACCUAUUGCGAAAGCAGCUCACUAAACUGCAACUGACGCUGAGGCACGAAAGCGUGGGGAUCAAACAGG